rnacentral:lncRNA from 1 species
UUUUAGUGUAUACAUAACAUACUCCUUUUUAGUAAACAUUUUUUUAUUAAUUAACGCUCUCCCUGCUUGCAGUACAAGUAUUUUUUUUUUGGGUGACUAAACAAGGAAAGAAACAAAGCAAAAGCUAUUCUAAAUCCGAGCGAAUGAUUCGUUGGAGAUCAACACCAGGCUCAGACCAAAUAACAUGAUUAGAGUUACUCUUGGCACCAUAUUUAGCCAUCCAAUCCGCAGCUCUAUUUGCUUCUCGAGACACCCAUUCAACGUGAACAAGCCAAGGACGAGAUAAAAGCUCCUG